rnacentral:rRNA from 1 species
AGUGAACGCUGGCGGUAGGCCUAACACAUGCAAGUCGAACGGCAGCACAGUAAGAGCUUGCUCUUACGGGUGGCGAGUGGCGGACGGGUGAGGAAUACAUCGGAAUCUACUUUUUCGUGGGGGAUAACGUAGGGAAACUUACGCUAAUACCGCAUACGACCUACGGGUGAAAGCAGGGGAUCUUCGGACCUUGCGCGAUUGAAUGAGCCGAUGUCGGAUUAGCUAGUUGGCGGGGUAAAGGCCCACCAAGGCGACGAUCCGUAGCUGGUCUGAGAGGAUGAUCAGCCACACUGGAACUGUGACACGGUCCAGACUCCUACGGGAGGCAGCAGUGGGGAAUAUUGGACAAUGGGCGCAAGCCUGAUCCAGCCAUAACGCGUGGGUGAAGAAGGCCUUCGGGUUGUAAAGCCCUUUUGUUGGGAAAGAAAAGCAGCAGGUUAAUACCCCGCUGUUCUGACGGUACCCAAAGAAUAAGCACCGGCUAACUUCGUG